rnacentral:rRNA from 1 species
GACGAACGCUGGCGGCGUGCCUAAUACAUGCAAGUAGAACGAGUUGCGAACGGGUGAGUAAUGUCUGGGAAACUGCCCGAUGGAGGGGGAUAACUACUGGAAACGGUAGCUAAUACCGCAUACCAUCGGAUGUGCCCAGAUGGGAUUAGCUAGUAGGUGGGGUAACGGCUCACCUAGGCGACGAUCCCUAGCUGGUCUGAGAGGUGGACCAGCCACACUGGAACGGAGACACGGGCCAGCCUCCUACGGUAGGCAGCAGUGGGGAAUAUUGGACAAUGGGGGAAAGCCUGAUGCAGCCAGGCCGCGGGUAUGAAGAAGGCCUUCGGGUUGUAAAGUACUUUCAGCGAGGAGGCGUUACUCGCAGAGGAAGCACCGGCUAACUCCGUGCCAGCAGCCGCGGUAAUAC